rnacentral:rRNA from 1 species
AGGACGAACGCUGGCGGCGUGCUUAACACAUGCAAGUCGAGCGGAAAGGCCCUUCGGGGUACUCGAGCGGCGAACGGGUGAGUAACACGUGAGUAACCUGCCCUAGGCUUUGGGAUAACCCUCGGAAACGGGGGCUAAUACCGAAUAUUCAUUUCCGGCGGCAUCGCUGGUUGUGGAAAGUUUUUCGGCCUGGGAUGGGCUCGCGGCCUAUCAGCUUGUUGGUGGGGUGAUGGCCUACCAAGGCGACGACGGGUAG